CCGUUGGUGAACCAGCGGAGGGAUCAUUACAGGACUCGCAAGACUCCUACAACCCUGUGAACUUAACUAUAAGCACGUUGCUUCGGCGGGUGUCUCGGAGGGGGUUCUCCCUCCCCGAGACGCUAAACCCGCCGGCAGCCUACUAUACUCUGUCUCUUUGCGUUGGCAUCUCGAGUACAGUCAAACAAGUUAAAACUUUCAACAACGGAUCUCUUGGUUCUG
rnacentral:misc_RNA from 1 species